rnacentral:sRNA from 1 species
GCUGGGUGUGGUAGUGCAUGCCUGUAAUCCCAGUGGCUUGGGAAGCUGAGACAGGAAGAUUGCAAAUUCAAAGCCAGCCUCAGCAAUGGUGAGGCACUAAGCAACUUAAAUCCUGUCUCUA